CCUACGGGUGGCAGCAGUGGGGAAUAUUGCACAAUGGGGGAAACCCUGAUGCAGCGACGCCGCGUGAGUGAAGAAGUAUUUCGGUAUGUAAAGCCCUAUCAUCAGGGAAGAAAAUGACGGUACCUGAUUAAUAAGCCCCGGCUAACUACGUGCCAGCAGCCGCGGUAAUACGGAGGGGGCAAGCGUUACACGGAUUUACUGGGUGUAAAGGGUGCGUAGGCGGGGAUAUAAGUCAGAUGUGAAAUCCCGGGGCUCAACUACGGGACUGCAUUUGAAACUGUGUGACUGGAGUGCGGGAGAGGUAGGUGGAAUUCUGGGUGUAGGGGUAAAAUGCGUAGAUAUCAAGAGGAAUACCAGUGGCGAAGGCGGCUUGCUGGAAUAUAACUGACGUUGAGGCACGAAAGCGUGGGGAGCAAACAGGAUUAGAUACCCCAGUAGUC
rnacentral:rRNA from 1 species